GAAUAUUGGACAAUGGGCGCAAGCCUGAUCCAGCCAUCCCGCGUGCAGGAUGACGGCCCUAUGGGUUGUAAACUGCUUUUAGGGGAGAAGAAACCUGUUCCUGCGGGAGCAGCUGACGGUAUCCCCUGAAUAAGCACCGGCUAACUCCGUGCCAGCAGCCGCGGUAAUACGGAGGGUGCAAGCGUUAUCCGGAAUUACUGGGUUUAAAGGGUGCGUAGGCGGCUUAGUAAGUCAGGGGUGAAAGGCUACGGCUCAACCGUGGAAUUGCCUUUGAUACUGCUGAGCUUGAAUGAGGUUGAGGUGAGCAGAAUGUGGCAUGUAGCGGUGAAAUACAUAGAUAUGCCAUAGAAUACCGAUUGCGAAGGCAGCUCACUGGACCUGGAUUGACGCUGAGGCACGAAAGCGUGGGGAGCGAACAGG
rnacentral:rRNA from 1 species